UACGUAGGGGGCAAGCGUUGUCCGGAUUUAUUGGGCGUAAAGAGCGUGUAGGCGGCCAGGUAGGUCUGCUGUGAAAACUCGAGGCUCAACCUCGAGAUGUCGGCGGAAACCAUCUGGCUAGAGUCCGGAAGAGGAGAGUGGAAUCCUGGUGUAGCGGUGAAAUGCGCAGAUAUCAGGAAGAACACCCGUGGCGAAGGCGGCUCUCUGGGACGGUACUGACGCUGAGACGCGAAAGCGUGGGGAGCGAACAGG
rnacentral:rRNA from 1 species